GUACAGUCAAGGCUACUUGGUUGUUUAAGCAAUCAGAGUUUAUUGAUAAAGGGAAACAGAACAAGGAGUGGGGAUAAAGGGGAACAACAAAUCGGUACUUACAACAUCCACACCACAAUGAGCCAGGGAAGUCCCAAUAGUUUGUACAGCGGGUGAGAGUGCUGAUCGUCCAGGUCUGAGGCAAAGCGUCCUUUCCUCAGGGAGACCUCCAAUUAUCCUAUGCCUGGGACUCCCUUUCAUCCCAAGGUUUCUCUGCGUUCUGACUCAGGGUUUUAGACAUUUGGAUAUUUUGAGUUAUUUCUUCUUGUUCCCACGGAUGGGGUGCUUUUACCAUUUUUGUUCCUACGGAUGGGAUGUUUCUAAAGUCCUGUCAGGUGCCCUUCCGGGUGGCCAGGCCCAGUGUCCAUGGAAGGUAGGGGAGGGGGUCAAUGAACUCUGUACAACCUGGGACUGGGGAGGGUUAGGUGAUAGAGGUGAGGAAGACUAUCUCAUGGGCCAGAUCCCUGCGGCACUGAGCUCUCUCCUACAGAGCUAACUGACCUUUCACUGCCCAUACCACAAAACGCCAAAGCCAUCUGUCUUCUAUCCCACAUCUCUGCAUCCCAAAUUUUCCUGGGAAAGUUUCCAGGAGCUGGAGCUCACAGAGUUUGUCGUUAGCUCUAGGCCUUCAGAGCACUGCUGGGGCUCAGUUAGGAGAACUCGUGUGUGCUAGAGUGUUGGGGCAGGAGAUGUAAACAGAAGUGGAGAGGCUCCCGCAGCAGUGCGCUAGCAUUUAUCCAGCACUUGCUUUCUGUCAGGCACUGUGUUAAGGUUGUCCGUGUGGUGUCUUGUUUGCUCUCCACGGCGACACUGUAAGAUAGGUAGGAACAUUUACGUUCCUGAGCUAUGAUGAGACAAGGGCGAUUUAGAGAGGGCUAUAACUCACUCGAGGCCAUAUUGCUAGUUCUCACACAGGUCUAUAUGACCCCAAAGCUCAUGCUCUUACUUAUGGUAUCCUACCUCUUUUUUGGAUUUGUGGGUGCCAUGGGCUGUGUCCAAAUCUGCUAUCACUUCUUUAAAAUCCAGGUGGAGGGGAGAGAGG
rnacentral:lncRNA from 1 species